rnacentral:rRNA from 1 species
AACUAUAACGGUCCUAAGGUAGCGAAAUUCCUUGUCAGGUAAGUUCUGACCCGCAUGAAAGGCGUAAUGAUUUGGGCACUGUCUCAACAGCCCGCCCGGCGAAAUUGUAGUACCGGUGAAGAUGCCGGUUACCCGCGACAAGACGGAAAGACCCCAUGGAGCUUUACUGUAGCCUAAUAUUGGGUUUCGAUGUUGCAUGCACAGGAUAGAUGGGACACUGGGAAACAAUCGCUUUGGCGGUUGCGGAGUGGCCGUUGGGAUACCAUCCUUGCGAUAUUGGAAUUCUAACCUGCGGCUCUGAAUCGAGUCGGGGGACAUUGUUAGGUGGGCAGUUUGACUGGGGCGGUCGCCUCCUAAAAAGUAACGGAGGCGUUCAAAGGUUCGCUCAGCUUGAACGGAAAUCAAGCAAAAGAGUGCAAACGCAGAAGCGAGCCUAACUGCGAGACUGACGGGUCGAGCAGUAACGAAAGUUGGAGUUAGUGAUCCGGUGGUAUGUGAGUGGAAAUGCCAUCGCUCAACGGAUAAAAGCUACCCUGGGGAUAACAGGCUGAUCUCCCCCAAGCGUCCACAGCGACGGGGAGGUUUGGCACCUCGAUGUCGGCUCGUCACAUCCUGGGGCUGAAUUCGGUCCCAAGGGUUCGGCUGUUCGCCGAUUAAAGUGGCACGCGAGCUGGGUUCAGAACGUCGUGAGACAGUUCGGUCCCUAUCUGUUGCGGGCGCAGGAAUAUUGAGAGGAGCUGUCCUUAGUACGAGAGGACCGGGAUGGACGUACCGCUGGUGCACCAGUUGUUCUGCCAAGGGCAUAGCUGGGUAGCUAAGUACGGACGAGAUAAACGCUGAAGGCAUCUAAGCGUGAAACUCCCCUCGAGAUAAGUGUUCCCAUCCUUCGGGAGUAAGGCCCCUUGUAGACUACAAGGUUGAUAGGUCAGGAGUGGAAGUGCAGUAAUGUAUGGAGCGGACUGAUACUAAUAGGCCGAGGGCUUGACCU